UUAGCUAGAGACCUAUAUAUAGAGCUUUGGGUAUUCAUUCUUCACUCACUCAUUACUUAAGCUAUCACCUAUCAAAGAUUACUCUCUCUUUCUCAUUUCUUGCUACUACUCCCUAUUUCGUCUUUUAUGCCAUAAUAUUCAUUGCUUAUUAACUCACCCCACCAUCAAUACCAUCAUCAUUCAUCAUUUUCUCUAUCAUCAUUUUUACAAUUUCCUUUUUUAUCAUUUCACCAUCCUCUCAAACACUAUUCCCAACCAAUUAUUUCAUCUCCAUCAUUCUUGUCAUACUCACAUAUCACCACCACCAACCUCUUACUUAUUUAUAUAUAGAUACUCCACUAUUAUUUACCUAUAUAUAUCAACAUCAUCACCACCAUUAUUUUCCUGCCAGAUUUACUUUUUAAUCUAAGGUUUUUCAUAAGAUAAUUUUUGGUUCUCAAGGAUCACUUUUGCAAUCAAGCAAGGAUCUCCACAAUCGAGACCAAAGUAACUGAAAGUCUAGAAUGCCGGUGGCGAGUGGAACUUUGGACGCUUGUGUGUGUGAACUCGCUGAGGGCCAUAUAACUGCGGGCGGUCUAGGGCGCUCUAUUUAUUUAUUUACGUUAUUAAAUUAAUGUCGCAAUUAUUUUAGUUAUUAUUUAUUAUGUCUUUUGUACGAAAAUUGGCCAGUUGUGAACAUUUUCAAGUAUUGAAUAAAAAUGCGACAUUAUGAUU